rnacentral:rRNA from 1 species
GUCUACCUACGGGGGGCAGCAGUGAGGAAUAUUGGUCAAUGGCCGAAGGGCUGAACCAGCCAAGCCGCGUGAGGGAUGAAGGUACAGAGUAUCGUAAACCUCUUUUGUCAGGGAACAAAGGCGGGGACGCGUCCCCGGAUGAGUGUACCUGAAGAAAAAGCAUCGGCUAACUCCGUGCCAGCAGCCGCGGUAAUACGGAGGAUGCGAGCGUUAUCCGGAUUUAUUGGGUUUAAAGGGUGCGCAGGCGGUCUGUUAAGUCAGCGGUCAAAGCCCGGGGCUCAACCCCGGCCCGCCGUUGA